AUUGAACGCUGGCGGCAUGCCUUACACAUGCAAGUCGAACGGUAACAGGUCUUCGGAUGCUGACGAGUGGCGAACGGGUGAGUAAUACAUCGGAACGUGCCUAGUAGUGGGGGAUAACUACUCGAAAGAGUGGCUAAUACCGCAUGAGAUCUACGGAUGAAAGCAGGGGAUCGCAAGACCUUGCGCUACUAGAGCGGCCGAUGGCAGAUUAGGUAGUUGGUGGGAUAAAAGCUUGCCAAGCCGACGAUCUGUAGCUGGUCUGAGAGGACGAUCAGCCACACUGGGACUGAGACACGGCCCAGACUCCUACGGGAGGCAGCAGUGGGGAAUUUUGGACAAUGGGCGAAAGCCUGAUCCAGCAAUGCCGCGUGCAGGAUGAAGGCCUUCGGGUUGUAAACUGCUUUUGUACGGAACGAAAAGCCCUGGGUUAAUACCCUGGGGUCAUGACGGUACCGUAAGAAUAAGCACCGGCUAACUACGAGCCAGCCGCCGCGGUAA
rnacentral:rRNA from 1 species